rnacentral:rRNA from 1 species
GACGAACGCUGGCGGCGUGCUUAACACAUGCAAGUCGAACGGAAAGGCCCUGCUUUUGUGGGGUGCUCGAGUGGCGAACGGGUGAGUAACACGUGAGUAACCUGCCCUUGACUUUGGGAUAACUUCAGGAAACUGGGGCUAAUACCGGAUAGGAGCUCCUGCUGCGUGGUGGGGGUUGGAAAGUUUCGGCGGUUGGGGAUGGACUCGCGGCUUAUCAGCUUGUUGGUGGGGUAGUGGCUCACCAAGGCUUUGACGGGUAGCCGGCCUGAGAGGGUGACCGGCCACAUUGGGACUGAGAUACGGCCCAGACUCCUACGGGAGGCAGCAGUGGGGAAUAUUGCACAAUGGGCGGAAGCCUGAUGCAGCAACGCCGCGUGCGGGAUGACGGCCUUCGGGUUGUAAACCGCUUUCGCCUGUGACGAAGCGUGAGUGACGGUAAUGGGUAAAGAAGCACCGGCUAACUACGUG